rnacentral:misc_RNA from 1 species
CCGUCAAUUCCUUUGAGUUUCAACCUUGCGAUCGUACUCCCCAGGUGGGAUACUUAACGCUUUCGCUUGGCCGCUUACUGUAUAUCGCAAACAGCGAGUAUUCAUCGUUUACUGUGUGGACUACCAGGGUAUCUAAUCCUGUUUGAUACCCACACUUUCGAGCAUCAGCGUCAGUUACAGUCCAGUAAGCUGCCUUCGCAAUCGGAGUUCUUCGUGAUAUCUAAGCAUUUCACCGCUACACCAUGAAUUCCGGCAUCCCUGUGUGCACUCAAGGCCUCCAGUUUCAACUGCAAUUCCACGGUUGAGCCGCGGACUUUCACAGCUGACUUAAAAGCCGGCCUACGCUCCCUUUAAACCCAAUAAAUCCGGAUAACGCCCGGACCUUCCGUAUUACCGCGGC